GCACUACUGAGGAGUUCCAUGAUAGAAUGAAACGGCCGUCCAGUGC
rfam:Schistosoma margrebowiei strain Zambia genome assembly, scaffold: SMRZ_scaffold0001659